AGUGAACGCUGGCGGUAGGCCUAACACAUGCAAGUCGAACGGCCGCACAGUAAGAGCUUGCUCUUACGGGUGGCGAGUGGCGGACGGGUGAGGAAUACAUCGGAAUCUACUUUUUCGUGGGUGAUAACGUAGGGAAACUUACGCUAAUACCGCAUACGACCUACGGGUGAAAGCAGGGGAUCUUCGGACCUUGCGCGAUUGAAUGAGCCGAUGUCGGAUUAGCUAGUUGGCUGGGUAAGGGCCCACCAAGGCGACGAUCCGUAGCUGGUCUGAGAGGAUGAUCAGCCACACUGGAACUGAGACACGGUCCAGACUCCUACGGGAGGCAGCAGUGGGGAAUAUUGGACAAUGGGCGAAAGCCUGAUCCAGCAAUACCGCGUGGGUGAAGAAGGCCUUCGGGUUGUAAAGCCCUUUUGUUGGGAAAGAAAAGCAGCAGGUUAAUACCCCGCUGUUCUGACGGUACCCAAAGAAUAAGCACCGGCUAACUUCGUG
rnacentral:rRNA from 1 species